UGUGCCUUAGUAUACGAUGUACAUGGAUUUUUGGUAUCUAGAGUAGUAGUUUAAUUCUACUAGGCACAG
rnacentral:tRNA from 1 species